AAUCAACGCUGGCGGCGUGCCUCAGACAUGCAAGUCGAACGAUUAAAGCUCUCUUCGGAGAGUGUAUAGAGUGGCGCACGGGUGAGUAACACGUAAGUAAUCUACCCUCGAGUGGGGAAUAACAACCGGAAACGGUUGCUAAUACCGCAUAAUGCAGCGGCACCGCAAGGUGACAGUUGUUAAAGAUUUAUCGCUUGAGGAGGAGCUUGCGGCAGAUUAGCUAGUUGGUAGGGUAACGGCUUACCAAGGCUACGAUCUGUAACCGGUCUAAGAGGACGGUCGGUCACACUGACACUGAAUAACGGGUCAGACUCCUACGGGAGGCAGCAGUCGGGAAUUUUGGGCAAUGGGCGAAAGCCUGACCCAGCAACGCCGCGUGAAGGAUGAAGUAUUUCGGUAUGUAAACUUCGAAAGAAUAGGAAGAAUUAAUGACGGUACUAUUUAUAAGGUCCGGCUAACUACGUGCCAGCAGCCGCGGUAAGAGUCAACGUCG
rnacentral:rRNA from 1 species